CCUACGGGUGGCAGCAGUGGGGAAUAUUGCACAAUGGGGGAAACCCUGAUCCAGCGACGCCGCGUGAGUGAAGAAGUACUUCGGUACGUAAAGCUCUAUCAGCAGGAAAGAAAGUGAUGGUAUUUGUCUACUAAGCCCUGGCUAACUACGUGCCAGCAGCCGCGGUAAUACGGAGUGGGCACGCGUUCUCCGGAUUGACUGGGUGUAAAGGGAGCGUAGACGGCAGCGCAUGUCUGGUGGGAAAUGCCUGGGCGCAACCCCGGAACUGCUCUUGAAACUGUGAAGCUGGAGUGCAGGAGAGGUGAGCGGAAUUCCAGGUGUAGAGGUGAAAUGCGUAGAUAUCAGGAGGAACACCGGCGGCGAAGGCGGCUUACUGGACUGUAACUGACGUUGAGGCGCGAAGGCGUGGGGAGCAAACAGGAUUAGAUACCCUAGUAGUC
rnacentral:rRNA from 1 species